UUGCUUCCAGAAACGGACGUGCUUUUGGAUUUAGCAGCCGGUGCUUGGUCCAGCGAUGGUGUGAAGACCUGAUCCGGUAAAGAUAACGAGUUAAUGUGAGACCGGUAAUACAGAGAUGUCAAUCCCUUCCAGUUAGCGACAACUCUACAAUGAUGGGGAUAUAAAGGAGAGUCUGCAGCUCUCCUCUCAGGGACAGUCUUCUGCAGCCCUUCUCUGGUCACAGGCCUGCCUGGCAUCUCUCAUCCAUACCAUUCC